rnacentral:rRNA from 1 species
GACGAACGCUGGCGGCGUGCUUAACACAUGCAAGUCGAGCGGUAAGGCCCUUUCGGGGUACGACGAGCGGCGAACGGGUGAGUAACACGUGGGUGACCUGCCCUUAGCUCUGGGAUAAGCCUGGGAAACUGGGUCUAAUACCGGAUAUGACUCCAUGACGCAUGUUGUGGGGUGGAAAGCCUUGUGCGGCUAGGGAUGGGCCCGCGGCCUAUCAGCUUGUUGGUGGGGUGAUGGCCACCAAGGCGACGACGGGUAGCCGGCCUGAGAGGGCGACCGGCCACACUGGGACUGAGACACGGCCCACGACUCCUACGGGAGGCAGCAGUGGGGAAUCUUGCGCAAUGGGCGAAAGCCUGACGCAGCGACGCCGCGUGGGGA